UGGGGAAUAUUGGGCAAUGGGCGCAAGCCUGACCCAGCAACGCCGCGUGAAGGAAGAAGGUCUUCGGAUUGUAAACAUCUGUCCUGUGGGACGAAACAAAUGACGGUACCACAGGAGGAAGCCCCGGCUAACUACGUGCCAGCAGCCGCGGUAAUACGUAGGGGGCGAGCGUUGUCCGGAAUUACUGGGCGUAAAGGGUGCGUAGGCGGAAAAGCAAGUCAGAUGUGAAAUACCCGGGCUUAACCUGGGGGGUGCAUUUGAAACUGUUUUCCUUGAGUGCAGGAGAGGCAAGUGGAAUUCCUAGUGUAGCGGUGAAAUGCGUAGAUAUUAGGAGGAACACCAGUGGCGAAGGCGACUUGCUGGACUGUAACUGACGCUGAGGCACGAAAGCGUGGGGAGCAAACAGG
rnacentral:rRNA from 1 species